rnacentral:lncRNA from 1 species
CCUCAAAAACAAAACUGAAAUUUAUGUUGUCAUUUAUAUAAAUAAGAUAUGAUGGAUUAUUUUUUUCUGCUUAUCAGAAGAGAAAAAGAAUCAAAAGAAAAGUAUAAGGUUUGGACUGGAGCCAUCAAGUAAGAAAACUUCUGUCUCCUCUGUCCCUCCUCCCCACUGUAAGAUCAGAGGAGAAACAUGGGAGAUGAGGGGUGAGAGACAUAUGUUAAAGAGACCAUGCACCAACCUCCACCCCAAACUUACAGAGUUACAGAUCUAAGAUGGAUAGAAGGGGAUAUUCAAAAGAGCUCUAAAUCCAUCUGACAUUAAGGUGUCUAAAUUACCAGGACUGAAUUUAAAGAAGUAGAAUGAAAAUUGAUGGGGAAAAAUCAGAUACCAAGUGUUAGAAUAUGAAGCAGCAGUAUUUCUAAUAUCUUGCUAGAGGGAAGUGAACUGAUAAACUCAUUUAGAAUUAUCUCAUGAUGUUGAAGAUAUGCACACUCCUAUGACCCAGUAAUUCUGUUUCUGGAUAUUUAGCCAAGAAUCACUUGUGAAUAUGUGCACCAGGACACAGGUACAAAAGUGAUUGUAGCAAUACUUCAGUAGUAAAAGCAAACAAAACUCUGGCUAACAAAAAUAUUUAUGGCAAAAAAGGGAUAAAGAAUGGCAGUUGUUCACACAAAAGAAUAUUAUACAAUGAAAAUGAAUUAAUUAAAGCAAUAUCCCCAAAUUAUCAUGAAUACUAAUAAUAUAAUGUUGAGUAAAAGCCAGACCUAGAAGACUGUAUAUAGCUUGAUUACUUUGUUCUAAACUAUCAUUUGCAAUGCAUUAUUUUUUUUUUAAUCAGAGGGAUAAUAGUUGUAUCAGAUAAGAGGAGGCAAGAGGUAGAAUGGGGAGGUGAACAUAAAUGUAAGUUUUGUCACUGUUUUAACUCUAACUGGGUGGUUGAUUUAUGGGUAUUGAUUAUUUUAUUAUUAAUUAAUAACAGAUGAAGAAGAAGAGGGCUAUAAAUAAUGAUACUAUUUAAUGAAAGAAAUAUUAUGCUUUUUCCAAUGUUGUACUCCUGAAGUCCAUUAAAAAUAUAUAAAAAGAAAAGUUAUGAAGUUAGGUGGAGAUGAAUUCAGUGAGAAUGAAAGGUGAGUGACAGAUCAUGAUAAAGGCAUUUAUUGGAAAAAAUUAAAUUGUCAUACGUUCAUUCCCCAACAAAAGACUUUUUCAAUA